GAUGAAGAACGCAGCGAAAUGCGAUACGUAGUGUGAAUUGCAGAAUUCCGUGAACCAUCAAAUCUUUGAACGCAUAUUGCGCUCGAGGCUUCGGCCGAGAGCAUGUCUGCCUCAGCGUCGGUAUUACCCCUCGCUUCUCAACCCCUGGUUGAUGCCUGCCUGCCUUUGCAGUUGGCUAGAAGCGGAUCUGGCUUUCCCAAUUGCCUUUGGUAGUUGGGUCAGCUGAAGCACAGAGGCUUGAGCAAGGACCCUUAUUGGGCUUCAACUGGAUAGGUAGAACUGGUCUUAGGACCAACUACACGAAGUUGUUGCUUGUGGUCUUCGUCUGGAGGCCAGCAGGAAACCUUUAUACCUUCGACCUGAGCUCAGGCAAGAUUACCCGCUGAACUUAAGCAUAUCAAUAAGCGGAGGA
rnacentral:misc_RNA from 1 species